rnacentral:ncRNA from 1 species
ACGAACCUCUGGAGAGACUCAAAAGAGCACCGAAGGAGCAAACCUAAAUAAUAUAAUUAUUAUUUAGACUAAACUCUCAGGUAAAAGGACAGAGCAA